rnacentral:rRNA from 1 species
UUUGUCCUACGGGGCGCAGCAGUGAGGGAUAUUGGUCAAUGGGGGAAACCCUGAACCAGCAACGCCGCGUGAGGGAAGACGGUUUUCGGAUUGUAAACCUCUGUCCUCUGUGAAGUUAAUGACGGUAGCAGAGGAGGAAGCUCCGGCUAACUACGUGCCAGCAGCCGCGGUAAUACGUAGGGAGCGAGCGUUGUCCGGAUUUACUGGGUGUAAAGGGUGCGUAGGCGGCCCUGCAAGUCAGAAGUGAAAUCCAUGGGCUUAACCCAUGAACUGCUUUUGAAACUGUAGGGCUUGAGUGAAGUAGG